CUACAAAUUUAAGUGUCAUUUUGCAGCAACUAUCUCCUGAUCCUGGUACCGUGGAAUACUCAAGGCCUUCAACUUUACAGAAUUCCACUGCCCUUAUAUGUCCCUUGACCAACUUCCAAGGGCCUGGAUCUUUUGAUUUAAUGUAGUCUAGGUACUCUUGAUGCCCCUGUCUUAGAUAUACUACUUCAUCUGCUAGCUGGGGAAUAUAAUGAGAGCCCUCCUCAUGCAUUGACAACAUUAACCAUGAUCCUCUUU
rnacentral:misc_RNA from 1 species